rnacentral:rRNA from 1 species
AACGAACGCUGGCGGCAGGCUUAACACAUGCAAGUCGAGCGCCCCGCGAGGGGAGAGCCAGACGGGGGAGUAACGCGUGGGAAUCUACCGAUCUCUACGGAAUAACGCAUGGAAACGUGUGCUAAUACCGUACACGUCCUGCGCGAGUACGAUUUAUCGGAGAUGGAUGAGCCCGCGUUGGUUUAGCUAGUCGGUGGGGUAAAGGCCUACCAAGGCAACGAUCCAUAGCUGGGCUGAGAGGAAGAUCAGCCACACUGGGACUGAGACACGGCCCAGAGUCCUACGGGAGGCAGCAGUGGGGAAGGUUGGACAAUGGGGGCAAGCCUGAUCCAGCCAUGCCGCGUGAGUGAUGAAGGCCCUAGGGUUGUAAAGCUCUUUCACCGGUGAAGAUAAUGACGGUAACCGGAGAAGAAGCCCCGGCUAACUUCGUGCCAGCCGCCGCGGUAAAAC